rnacentral:rRNA from 1 species
UGUAUAAUGGGUCAGCGACUUAUAUUCUGUAGCAAGGUUAACCGAAUAGGGGAGCCGAAGGGAAACCGAGUCUUAACUGGGCGUUAAGUUGCAGGGUAUAGACCCGAAACCCGGUGAUCUAGCCAUGGGCAGGUUGAAGGUUGGGUAACACUAACUGGAGGACCGAACCGACUAAUGUUGAAAAAUUAGCGGAUGACUUGUGGCUGGGGGUGAAAGGCCAAUCAAACCGGGAGAUAGCUGGUUCUCCCCGAAAGCUAUUUAGGUAGCGCCUCGUGAAUUCAUCUCCGGGGGUAGAGCACUGUUUCGGCAAGGGGGUCAUCCCGACUUACCAACCCGAUGCAAACUGCGAAUACCGGAGAAUGUUAUCACGGGAGACACACGGCGGGUGCUAACGUCCGUCGUGAAGAGGGAAACAACCCAGACCGCCAGCUAAGGUCCCAAAGUCAUGGUUAAGUGGGAAACGAUGUGGGAAGGCCCAGACAGCCAGGAUGUUGGCUUAGAAGCAGCCAUCAUUUAAAGAAAGCGUAAUAGCUCACUGGUCGAGUCGGCCUGCGCGGAAGAUGUAACGGGGCUAAACCAUGCACCGAAGCUGCGGCAGCGACACUAUGUGUUGUUGGGUAGGGGAGCGUUCUGUAAGCCUGUGAAGGUGUACUGUGAGGUAUGCUGGAGGUAUCAGAAGUGCGAAUGCUGACAUAAGUAACGAUAAAGCGGGUGAAAAGCCCGCUCGCCGGAAGACCAAGGGUUCCUGUCCAACGUUAAUCGGGGCAGGGUGAGUCGACCCCUAAGGCGAGGCCGAAAGGCGUAGUCGAUGGGAAACAGGUUAAUAUUCCUGUACUUGGUGUUACUGCGAAGGGGGGACGGAGAAGGCUAUGUUGGCCGGGCGACGGUUGUCCCGGUUUAAGCGUGUAGGCUGGUUUUCCAGGCAAAUCCGGAAAAUCAAGGCUGAGGCGUGAUGACGAGGCACUACGGUGCUGAAGCAACAAAUGCCCUGCUUCCAGGAAAAGCCUCUAAGCAUCAGGUAACAUCAAAUCGUACCCCAAACCGACACAGGUGGUCAGGUAGAGAAUACCAAGGCGCUUGAGAGAACUCGGGUGAAGGAACUAGGCAAAAUGGUGCCGUAACUUCGGGAGAAGGCACGCUGAUAUGUAGGUGAAGUCCCUCGCGGAUGGAGCUGAAAUCAGUCGAAGAUACCAGCUGGCUGCAACUGUUUAUUAAAAACACAGCACUGUGCAAACACGAAAGUGGACGUAUACGGUGUGACGCCUGCCCGGUGCCGGAAGGUUAAUUGAUGGGGUUAGCGGUAACGCGAAGCUCUUGAUCGAAGCCCCGGUAAACGGCGGCCGUAACUAUAACGGUCCUAAGGUAGCGAAAUUCCUUGUCGGGUAAGUUCCGACCUGCACGAAUGGCGUAAUGAUGGCCAGGCUGUCUCCACCCGAGACUCAGUGAAAUUGAACUCGCUGUGAAGAUGCAGUGUACCCGCGGCAAGACGGAAAGACCCCGUGAACCUUUACUAUAGCUUGACACUGAACAUUGAGCCUUGAUGUGUAGGAUAGGUGGGAGGCUUUGAAGUGUGGACGCCAGUCUGCAUGGAGCCG